rnacentral:snRNA from 1 species
GACCCAUGCUACCACAUGG